UCAGGACGAACGCUGGCGGCGUGCUUAANACAUGCAAGUCGAACGAGAAGAGAUGAGAAGCUUGCUUCUUAUCAAUUCGAGUGGCAAACGGGUGAGUAACGCGUAAGCAACCUGCCCUUCAGAUGGGGACAACAGCUGGAAACGGCUGCUAAUACCGAAUACGUUCUUUUUGUCGCAUGGCAGAGGGAAGAAAGGGAGGCUCUUCGGAGCUUUCGCUGAAGGAGGGGCUUGCGUCUGAUUAGCUAGUUGGAGGGGUAACGGCCCACCAAGGCGACGAUCAGUAGCCGGUCUGAGAGGUUGAACGGCCACAUUGGGACUGAGAUACGGCCCAGACUCCUACGGGAGGCAGCAGUCGGGAAUAUUGCGCAAUGGAGGAAACCCUGAUGCAGCAACGCCGCGUGAGUGAUGACGGUCUUCGGAUUGUAAAGCUCUGUCUUUGGGGACGAAGAAAGUGACGGUACCCAAGGAGGAAGCCACGGCUAACUACGUG
rnacentral:rRNA from 1 species